AUUUUGUGCCUAGUUCCUGUGUUGCCUACCUUUUGAAAGGAACUCGUGUGGCUUGUUGGAUUUUAUCCGUUCCAACCUCUUUUGUUGGUUGCGAAGGGCUAUUGAGGUGAACUACGUGGUUGCCCCGGUUAGUCUCGCUCGAUGCUGACUAUGUUGGUUCCCACGUAUUAAUCGUGCUCUUGGAUGCGGUACAUGAAGCGAACUUGGGUUGUUUUCCCAAUGCGUCCUUUAUUUUUUGGUUGCCUUAGAUGAUCCCUGCCUUCAUGUGUGCUUUGACACAUAUUACUGGGUCCAAAGCUUGCAUGAAGUGCAGA
rnacentral:misc_RNA from 1 species